AUGCUAUUAGCAUCAUAUUUUUCUUGAAACACUGAGAAGAUUAGCAUGACCCCUGCGCAAGGACGGCAUGUUUAUUUUGAGAGCGUAUCCGAGAGUAGUCUCGGUUUUU
rnacentral:snRNA from 1 species